rnacentral:rRNA from 1 species
GAGAAUUUAAAUAGCCGCAGUACCCUGACUGUGCAAAGGUAGCGUAAUCAGUUGGCUUAUAAUUGAAGUCUAGUAUGAAAGGGAACACGGGAAUAUUCUGUCUUUAAUAUAGAAAAGAAAUUAUUAAUUAAGUGAAAAUUCUUAAAGUUAGAAAAAAGACGAGAAGACCCUAGAAAUUUUUUAAUUGAUUUUGUUGGGGCGACAGGGUAACAAUAAAACUUACCUAAAUAAUAGGAAAUUUUUUAGUGGUGUAAAUAAAUUACUCUAGGGAUAACAGCAUAAUAUUUUAAAGAUUGUGACCUCGAUGUUGGACUAGGAAUUUCAUUACUUAAAAGGUAUUGUUUAUAGUUCUGUUCGAACUUUAUUCUCCUACAU